GAUGAACGCUGGCGGCGUGCCUAAUACAUGCAAGUCGAGCGAACGGAUUAAGAGCUUGCUCUUAUGAAGUUAGCGGCGGACGGGUGAGUAACACGUGGGUAACCUGCCCAUAAGACUAGGAUAACUCCGGGAAACCGGGGCUAAUACCGGAUAAUAUUUUGAACUGCAUGGUUCAAAAUUGAAAGGCGGCUUAGGCUGUCACUUAUGGAUGGACCCGCGUCGCAUUAGCUAGUUGGUGAGGUAACGGCUCACCAAGGCAACGAUGCGGAGCCGACCUGAGAGGGUGAUCGGCCACACUGGGACUGAGACACGGCCCAGACUCCUACGGGAGGCAGCAGUAGGGAAUCUUCCGCAAUGGACGAAAGUCUGACGGAGCAACGCCGCGUGAGUGAUGAAGGCUUUCGGGUCGUAAAACUCUGUUGUUAGGGAAGAACAAGUGCUAGUUGAAUAAGCUGGCACCUUGACGGUACCUAACCAGAAAGCCACGGCUAACUACGUGCCAGCAGCCGCCGUAA
rnacentral:rRNA from 1 species